AUGACCAUGCCUCACCUCUGCCGAUCACAUGCAAAUAUUUGUCCUGUUCUGAGACAUCCUCCUGGGUCCCAGCUUCUUCUCUUGAAGAGUGAGUUUGAUUUGAUUUUGUAUUUCUGUCUUGAGCUACUUCCUGCUUUAUCAUUCAACAGCCUAAAUUUAGUUCAACACUCCAUCUUUACAGUACAGAUUUCCAGUGCACCAUCAGAAGCCGAAGUAACUGUGAGUGGGAGGCAUUGGAGCCGGCUGGGAGGUAAGCAUUCGGGCCAGCAGGGAGGAGGAGUCGCCCAUGUAGCAGUGCUGGAUGACAACAUUCCCACACUGCCCUCGGACACAUCACAGACCCUGGUACCACAGGAUCCCUCUGAUUCAACUGAAGAGAGAUGCAGAGCUGCAUGCCACCAAGAACAUGUCUGGCCUGAUUUGAAGCUGCUACAUCUACUUUGAAAGAAGCCACAUAACCUUUGCUGCUACUUCAUUUCAAGUUUUCCUUUGAAUUUUCUAUUUCCUGAGCUGGGAGAAAUGAGAGGAUGCACCCUCUCCCUUUCUAACAGGUUAGACCAGGCAGAGGCCUAAAAAUGGCGUCUCCGGGUUUUAUCAAAG
rnacentral:lncRNA from 1 species